GGGGAGAAUCGAAUGUAACUUUUUCUGUACAUGUCCGUGGAUAUAUAAUUUCCCAAUUCCGAGUCCGUAUGAGAAAGUUAUGCCUGUUUUAAG
rnacentral:rRNA from 1 species